AGUGAACGCUGGCGGUAGGCCUAACACAUGCAAGUCGAAUGGCAGCACAGUAAGAGCUUGCUCUUACGGGUGGCGAGUGGCGGACGGGUGAGGAAUACAUCGGAAUCUACUUUUUCGUGGGGGAUAACGUAGGGAAACUUACGCUAAUACCGCAUACGACCUACGGGUGAAAGCAGGGGAUCUUCGGACCUUGCGCGAUUGAAUGAGCCGAUGUCGGAUUAGCUAGUUGGCGGGGUAAAGGCCCACCAAGGCGACGAUCCGUAGCUGGUCUGAGAGGAUGAUCAGCCACACUGGAACUGAGACACGGUCCAGACUCCUACGGGAGGCAGCAGUGGGGAAUAUUGGACAAUGGGCGCAAGCCUGAUCCAGCCAUACCGCGUGGGUGAAGAAGGCCUUCGGGUUGUAAAGCCCCUUUGUUGGGAAAGAAAAGCAGCAGGUUAAUACCCCGCUGUUCUGACGGUACCCAAAGAAUAAGCACCGGCUAACUUCGUG
rnacentral:rRNA from 1 species